rnacentral:rRNA from 1 species
GCCUCCCUCCGUCCGCCGACUCACGACGUACCUACGGAGGCGAGCAGUGGGAAUUUUGGACAAUGGGGAAACCUGAUCCAGCAAUGCCGCGUGUGUGAAGAAGGCCUUCGGGUUGUAAAGCACUUUUGUCCGGAAAGAAACUUCUGCCCUAAUACGGUGGGAGGAUGACGGUACCGGAAGAACUAAGCACCGGCCAACUAUGUGCCAGCAGCCGCGGUAAUC